UGAUUGAAAACCAAAACUAGCUACUGUAUC
rnacentral:piRNA from 1 species